rnacentral:tmRNA from 1 species
GGGGGUGAAAGGGUUCGACUUAAGCUAUGUCACUUAAGAGCAGCAUGCCGCGGACGCAUGGUUAGCCGCGUUAAUAACCCGUGCACAAUUCAAACGCAAACACGCAAGUGUCACGUUUAGGAACAUUUGUUCAGCCGUCUUUUGCGGCUAGGCCGAUGUUCGUACCAGCCUUCGGACUUAAUUAAGUCCGAAGCCUCUAACUGUCCAGCCUACGGGAUAGAUUAGGGCUCAAGUAGGAUAGUCCCGGCGGUUAGCCUUCCAAACCGGGGCGAAAUCGAAAAGGCUGCGCUUUGCAAAUCCUGCCGGAUAGGAGUUGCAGGGCUAAGUGUAAAAUAUCAGGCUAAGCAUGUAGCGGCUUUUAGGCGAUUACUUAAGGACGGCGGUCCAAUUCCGCCCACCUCCACCA